AUUGAACGCUGGCGGCAGGCCUAACACAUGCAAGUCGAGCGGAUGAAGGGAGCUUGCUCCUGGAUUCAGCGGCGGACGGGUGAGUAAUGCCUAGGAAUCUGCCUGGUAGUGGGGGAUAACGUCCGGAAACGGGCGCUAAUACCGCAUACGUCCUGAGGGAGAAAGUGGGGGAUCUUCGGACCUCACGCUAUCAGAUGAGCCUAGGUCGGAUUAGCUAGUUGGUGGGGUAAAGGCCUACCAAGGCGACGAUCCGUAACUGGUCUGAGAGGAUGAUCAGUCACACUGGAACUGAGACACGGUCCAGACUCCUAUGGUAGGCAGCAGUGGGGAAUAUUGGACAAUGGGCGAAAGCCUGAUCCAGCCAUGCCGCGUGUGUGAAGAAGGUCUUCGGAUUGUAAAGCACUUUAAGUUGGGAGGAAGGGCAGUAAGUUAAUACCUUGCUGUUUUGACGUUACCAACAGAAUAAGCACCGGCUAACUUCGUG
rnacentral:rRNA from 1 species